rnacentral:lncRNA from 1 species
UUCAUACUAAGUAGAGCCAGUGUCGAGUUGCAGUAACCAAAAACCAUGGCAUCGAAGAUUUUCCUUCUCCUAGGCCUUUCAUUGGCCAUACUUCUUCUCAUCUCCUCCUAGGUGGCUGCAAGAGACCUCGCCGAGACGGAGACCCACCAGGAACAUGGUCAGCUUUACCUUAUUCAUUCUGACAAUCACUCUUUAUUAUUUUAUUAAUCACAUGCAAUAUAGUUACUAACACUACAUAUCUAUACGAAUAAUGAUCAUAUGCAUAUACCGUAUGUAAAUUUAUGCAUGAGAGGUUGAGGAAGAGACAAAUGGAGUGGAAGAGGCUAAGUAUCCAGGAUAUGGAGGAUACCUUAGAGGCGGAUAUAACGGUGGACGCGACGGAUACAAUGGUGGGUACAAUGGUGGACGUGGAGGAUACAACGGCAGAAGAGGGUAUUGCCAUUAUGGUUGCUAUGAUAGAGGUUAUCAUGGGGGCGGAGGUUGCAGGUGCUGCUGCCACUAUGCUGGUGAGACUGUUGAUGCCCAAACCCAAGUCCAGACACAUGACUAGAACACCAUAAAUUAUAAAUAAGCGCUACAAUGCAUAGGUCGGUAUAUAUAUAUAUAUAUGCACAGACGAAAGGUGUAAUGAAAUAUAUCAUGUGUGUUUAGUGUGUUAGUCUUUUGCUAACAAAACGGUUGUGAAGCACCGAGUAAUAUUUGUAGCGACAGAAGUACUUAAUAAGUUAAUAAAUAAAAUUACGAGUGUGGAUAUGUGUGUGGUAGUUUUGUAGUGUAGUAUGCUUGCUCUAAAAUACUUCUUACCCAUUUUAUAUCUAAACUACACAAAUAUAUUAAAAACUAAGUAAGUAUUGAAUUAAAAUCUUAAACAGAAACCCUAGAGAGACAAGAGAGGGAGAGAGAGUCCGAACACGUUCUGAAGAUCUCAUUUCUUUUUCUUAUUUAUACUGAAAAAUAUUGAGGAAUUCGUAGAGUGCACAAAUUCCUCACAAACACGAUAUACAAACUAAAUUAGAAAAUGCCAACAUAUAUAUACAUACACACACACUCAGAUUACAUACACACGCGUCAUCAGUCUCCCUUGUGUCCCUCACAAUAGCAAAGCUCCUUUAGAGCUAGUAUUUUAUGAUGUCUAGGGUACUUCCCCUACAACUUCCAAUCUUGGUUUCUCUUAUUUUCUUAUCUUUGUCGAUGACUUCACCAGGUAUACCUGAAUUUAUUUUCUUAAAGAUAAAAGUGUUGUUUGUGAUUCAUUCAUCAAGUUUCAAUCUUUAGUUAAAAAAUAAUUCAAUUUAAAAAUCAAAUCUUUCAAGUCUGAUUGGGGCAGUGAAUGCCGCAAACUAAAUACCCAUCUCACCAACCAUGACAUCCUCCAUCGCCUUGCAUGUCCACAUACACAUGAGUAUAAUGGCACUGCUGAAAGAAAAAAAGGCAUAUUAUAGACACAAGUCUCCCUCUUUUAGCUCAAAAUUUUAUACCAUUUCGAUAUUGGCCCUAUGCAUUUCAAACCUUUAUUUACACUAUUAAUUUAAUGUCAACAAAAUCUUAAAUGAUCACAGCCUAUACACCAAGUUAUAUUGCAAACCAUUUGAUUUUCUUCAUCUACAUAUCUUUGGAUCUAUUGUUUUUCCAUUAAUCAGACCCCACAAUCAACACAAACUUUCUUUCCACAGCCACCCAUGCGUUUUUUUAGGUCCCUCCUCAGCUCAUCUUGGACACAUCUACUUGGAUAAGGACUCUGGCCGAAUCUAUAUCGCUAGACACGUCAUCUUUGAUGACACCAAUUUUCUUUUCCAUUCAACUAAAGACUCUUUGUCGAUCAUGCCUCUCUCCCCCCCUUCCGCAUGGCUUGAUAUUUAGACCUCAUCCUCUCAUUCCCAACCUGCUUCGGUGGCUUAUUCUUAUUCUUUACCUUCAGCAAAUUUUAAUCCUUCAACCUCUACCCCUUAUCCUCCCAUUCAAAAUUUGAGUCUUGCUCACCCGGCUGACAUUACCUCACCCCCUACAUUCUCUCCUCUCUUAUCCCCAUCUGAUAAUUUAAACUUUCAAGUAUACUUAUCUAAUCCCCACUUCCCAACUGAUCUUGUCCCCACCCAACCACGUCAACCUACCCGUACUCAUCCUAUGAUCCUACACCCCACUUCUCUAGCAAAACUUUCUUUUUUUCUAGGAUCUAAAACUACGACCAAAAUUGAUUAUCUUCAAACAGAACCCCACACCUACUCCCAAGCUAGGUCCUUUCCUCAAUGGCAACAAACCAUUCAUGAGGAAAUUGAUGCCCUACUGAACAUUAGCACUUGGACCUUAGUUCCCAAACCUCCUACAACUAAUAUUAUUGGCAAAAAAUGAGUUUACAGAAGCAAACAAAAAUCAAAUGGCUCUAUUGACUUAUACAAACCUCGUCUGGUUGCCAAAGGAUAUCAUCAGCAAUCCGACUAUUAAAAAUUACUUUGCAAAUUAGAAUAUAAUUAAUUAGUUUGUUAGUGGUUGAACUUCAUAAAUUAGAGUCUCUAUAUAUACUUUGGUUUGGUAGAAGUUGUGAGUCAUAAAUUAGAUUUAUUAUAUUUGUUGGUGGUUAUAAUUAAUUCUAAUAGUUGUAAUAGUGCCUAUAAAUAGGCAUGUACUUGAAGUUUUUUUUUUGCAAGAACCACAAUAGAAAAUCUUGAGUCUUCUCAUUAGUCUCUCUAACCUCUUCCUCUUAUCUCUAACAAAGUUGUAUCAAAGUUUGAUUUUUUGUUAAAAUUCUAGAGAUUGCUAGCAAUAAUCUAUUUUCUUUUCAAUUUCCUCAUCUUACAAAAUAAAACUAUGAAAGUUAGUAUUUUCGUAUGAAAGCCAUACUUGGCUCACAAGAUAUAUGAGAUAGCGUAGAAAGAGGCUUUACUCCACCUGAAGAUGAAGGAUCCUUAAUUCAAAAUAAGAAAGAUGUUUUUGCAAGAACAAAGAAGAAGGAUCAACAAGCUCUUGCACUCAUCCAUCAAGAUUUAGAUGAAUAUAUGUUUCUAAAAGUGGCCGAUGCUACCGACGCAAAACAAGCUUGGGAGAUUUUGAAGAAUUCCCUCCAAGGAGUCGACAAGGUGAAGAAGGUACAACUCCAAAUUUUACGAGGUGAGUUUGAAGCUUUGCAAAUGAAGGAUGUUGAAUCCAUUUCAGAUUUUUUCUCAAGGGUAAAGUCUAUAAUAAGCCUAAUGAGGAGAUCUGGUGAGAUGAUGGAAGAUAUUCGUGUGGUGCAAAAAAAUUCUUCGAUCAUUGCCGCCAAAAUUCGACUAUGUGGUUUGUGCCAUUGAAGAAUCAAAGGAUUUAGACAUUUUGACAUUUGAACAAUUAGAGGGAUCUCUACAAGCUCAUGUAGAAAAAAUAAAGAGAAGACAAAAAGAGCCUUUAGAACAAGUUCUCAAAUCAAAUGCAUCUUUGAAUGAUGGUGGAAAGCAAAGAGGACGAGGAAGAGGUAGAGGUCGUGGUCGUGGUCGUGGUCGUGCUCGUGGUCAAGCAUUUAAAAGAAAUAAAACUCAAGAUGAUGCCAAUAAUGAAGAUAAAAGUCAACCAUUAAAUAGAGGUCGUGGAAGAAUAAGAGGAAGAUGAAGAAGUAAUAACAAAAAUUCUAACAAAUCAGAUAUUGAAUGUUACUAUUGUUAUAAAUACGGACAUUAUACUUGACAAGGUCGUAACACUUUAAACGAGAAGGAGUAACAAGCCAACUUUGUCAAUGAUAAACAAGAUGAGGAAGAAACAACUUUGUUGCUAGCAUAUAAAUAGGGAGAUAGUGAUACACAUAAUUUAUGGUACUUGGAUAAUGGAGCAAGCAAUCACAUGUGCGGCAAUAAAGAAAAAUUUGGGGAGCUUGAUGAGAAGAUUAAUGGUAAUGUUUCUUUUGGAAACUCUUCAAAAGUUCAAAUUCAAGAAAAAUGUACAAUUUUAAUCUCUUCAAAAAAUGGUGGAAAUGUACUUAUUACUAAUGUUUACUAUGUGCCAAAGUUAAGAAGUAAUAUUUUAAGUUUGGAUUAACUUUUUGAAAAUGGAUAUGAAAUUCACAUGAAAGAUUAUUGUCUUUGGCUUAAAGAUCAAAGUGCUAAUUUAAUUGCUAAGGUGCACAUGUCAAAGAAUAGAAUAUUUAUCUUGAAUCUCAAAACUAUUGAAGCAAGAUGUUUGAAGGCUAGUAUGGAAGAUGAAGCAUGGUGUUGGCAUAUGAGAUCUGGCCAUCUGAACUUUAACGCACGAAAGGCGAUGGGAGAAGAAAAAAUGGUGAAAGGAAUGCCAUUAAUCAAUCAUCCUAAUCAAUUAUGUGAAGCAUGUCCACUUGGAAAGCAUUCAAGAAGGAGUUUCCCAAAAGAAGCUACUACAAUAGCAACUAAGCUACUUCAACUUGUGCAUGCCGAUGUGUGUGGGCCAAUCAAUCCACUCUCAUUUGGUAAAAAUAAAAACUUUCUACUAUUUAUUGAUGAUUUUAGUAGGAAGAUUUUGGUAUAUUUUUUAAAGAAAAAAUUAGAUGCUUUUGUUGUUUUUAAAAUAUUUAAAGCUCUUAUAGAAAAAGACUGUGGUUGUAAAAUAAAGUCUUUGAGAAUAGAUAGAGGAGGUGAAUCUACUUCCAAAGAAUUUCAUGAUUUCUAUGAAUCUAAUGGAAUUCGUCGCCCUUUAACAGUUCCAAGAUCACCACAACAAAAUAUAGUUGCGGAAAGAAAGAAUAUAAUUAUUCUUAAUAUGGCUAGAAGCAUGUUGAAAGCAAAAAACAUGCCCAAGGAAUUUUGCGCCGAAGCAAUUUCUUGUGCAGUGUAUUUAUCUAAUAGAUCUCCAACAUCAAGUUUGAAAAACAUGACUCCCCAAGAAGCAUGGAGCGGAAUGAAACUAAUGUCAACUAUUUGCGAGUUUUUAGAAGUAUUGCAUAUGCUCAUGUUCCACAACAAGAGAGAUAUAAACACAAUGAUCGAAGUGUUAAACAUAUUUUCAUUGGGUAUGAUGGAAACUCAAAAGGCUCUAAAUUGUAUAAUCCAAGCAAUGGCAAGAUCAUGGUAAGUAGAGAUGUUGAAUUUAAUGAAAAAAUGACUUGGAAUUGGGAGAAGAAAGAAGAAAAUGCUUAUGAUUUCUUUCUAUACUUUGAAGAGAAUAACCAAGAGACCAAGAACCAAGAGACCAUGGUAUCAUUGCAAGAGACACUAAUUUUGAUAUAAAUGAUUUGUUUUUUCUUUUUCUUGACAGUAAACCAAUGAAUUUUGAUGAAGCCAUCAAAGAUGUAAGAUGGAGACAAGCUAUGGAGGAAGAGAUUAAAUCCAUAGAAAAUAACAACACAUGGGAACUAUCCACUCUUCUUAAGAGACAUAAAGCUAUUGGUGUCAAAUGGGUCUAUAAAGCUAAAACGGAUUCCCAAGGAAAUGUGAAAAGGUAUAAGGCAAGACUUGUGGCUAAAGGAUAUAAACAAAAACAUGGGAUUGAUUAUAAUGACGUUUUUGCACCAGUUACUCGCAUGGAGACUAUUCAUUUGCUCUUAGCUAUCUCAGCUCAAAUGAAGUGAAAAAAUUUUCAACUUGAUGUAAAAUCGGCAUUUUUCAAUGGCUAUCUUAAUGAAGAGGUUUAUGUAAAACAACCAUUGGGUUUCGUGGUUGAAGGGCAUGAAGAUAAAGUGUAGAAAUUUAAGAAAGCUUUGUAUGGGCUAAAGCAAGCGCCAAUAGCAUGGAAUAGCCGUAUAAACAAGUAUUUAGAGGAUAAUGGAUUUAUUCGUUGCCUUCAUGAAUAUGCUCUUUAUGUGAAAUAUCAUCCUAAUGGUGAUAUUCUAUUUGUGUGUCUAUAUGUGGAUGAUCUCAUCUUCACGAGCAACAAUCCAAGUUUGUUUGAAGAAUUCAAGAAAAACAUGUUACUUGAAUUUGAAAUGAUUGAUAUUGGGCUCAUGUCUUAUUAUUUAGGCCUUGAGGUGAAGUAAAUGGAAGAUGGUAUUUUUAUUUCUCAAAAAGGCUAUGCAAGAAAAGCUUUAGAAAAAUUCAAAAUGCUUAAUUGCAAUCCUGUGAACACGCCAAUAGAACGUGGAGUCAAGUUAUCAAAGUUUGAUAAUGGAAAAAAAGUAGAUCUUACUCUCUUUAAAAGUCUUAUGGGAAGUUUGAGAUACUUGACAUUUACAAUGCCUGAUAUUCUUUUUGCAGUUGCACUAAUAAGUCGUAUUAUGGAAGCUCUUACCACCUCCCACAUAAAUGUUGCCAAAAAAGUUCUACGUUACCUUAAAGGUACUAUUGAUUUUGGGUUAUUUUAUUCAUCUUCUAAUGAUUUCAACUUUGGGGGAUUUUGUGAUAGUGAUUUCGCUGGAGAUAUUGAUGAUAGAAAAAGUACAACUGAUUUUGUAUUCUUUAUGGGUGAUUGUGCAAUUACAUAGAGUUUUAAGAAGCAAGUCAUUAUUACACUAUCACCUUAUGAGUCUGAAUAUGUGGCAGCAACCUCUUGUGCUUGUCAUGCCAUAUGGCUUAGAAGAUUAUUGAAAGAACUUCAGUUAACACAGGAUGAAGCUACUAAAACUUUUAUUGACAAUAAAUCUGCACAAGCUAUGCCAAAGACACGGUAUUCCAUGAACAAAGCAAACACAUAGACACAAGAUAUCAUUUAUUAGAGAUUGCAUUGCUAAAAAAGAAGUGGAACUCAAGCACGUAAAGACUGAAGAUCAAGUGGUGGAUAUUUUCACCAAACCGCUCAAGUUUGAAGUCUUUCAAAAGCUACGCACUAAUCUUGGAUUGAAAAGGAGGUUUGCAAAUUAAGAGAAAGUGUUAAAAAUUAAUUUGCAAAUUAGAAUAUAAUUAAUUAGUUUGUUAGUGUUUAAACUUCAUAAAUUAGAGUCUCUAUAUAUCUUUUGAUUUGUUAGAAGUUGUGAGUCAUAAAUUAGAUUUAUUAUGUUUGUUGGUGGUUAUAAUUAAUUAUAAUAGUUGUAAUAGUGCCUAUAAAUAUGUAUGUACUUGAAGUUUUUUUUUUUGCAGGAAACACAAUAGAAAAUCUUGAGUCUUCUUAUUAGUCUCUCUAACCUCUUCCCCCUAUCUCUAAUACCGACAUCAACUUUUAAGAGAGAUUUAGCCCAGUGAUCAAGUCGACCAUUAUCCGCACAAUUUUCGCCUAUGCCACUACUCAAGGGUGGCCUAUGCGACAGUAAGAUGUCUCUAUUACUUUUUUACAGGGUUUCCUCGAUGUGGAUAUCUACAUGGAUUAGCCAAGGGGAUUUAUUGAUCUAGAAAAAUCAGAUUGUGUCUGCAAGCUUGCUCGGUCUUUUUAUGGCCUUAAACAGGCUCUUCGAGUCUAGUUUAAAAAGGUUAGCUCCUUCCUCCUUUCCCUUGGUUUUCAAGAUUUUAAAGUUGACACUUCCUUGUUCAUCUACAGGUAUGAUUCUUCCACUGUCUUUUUCUUAGUCUACGUGGAUGAUAUCAUUAUCACUGGUUCUUCUCCACAGUUGGUACACCAUAUUAUCUCCUCCUUUCAAUAAGAAUUCCCGGUAAAAGAUCCUGGCAAGGUUUCCUAUUUUUUUGGAUUACAGGUCACUCACACCCAGCAUGGGCUCUUCUUAGAUCAACAAAAUAUCUCCUUGAUCAACUUAGCAUGACUGAAGCCAAAGGCAGUUCCACACCAAUUAUCAUAAUGUCUCUAUCCAAGAUCGACAACAAUCUCCUUCCUGAUGGCACUCAGUAUCGUAAGACCAUUGGUGCCCUCCAAUAUGCAACAAUGAUGCGACCAAACAUCUCUUUUACAGUCAAUAAAAUGUAUCAAUUCAUGCACUCCCCAACUGAUGAAAAUUAGAAAGUAGUAAAACAGUUUCUAUGAUACCUAGCUCACACCUUCUCUUAUGGUAUACUCUUCACAUUCGAUUCCUUCUAUCAAUUGUAAUGCUUCAUAGACAAUGACUGGGGUGGUUACCGAGAUUAUCGUCGCUCCACCAAUGACUAUGCAAUUUAUUUGGGACACAAUCUCAUAUCUUGGGUCUCUAAAAAGCAACCAAUUGUUGCCCGUUCCUCCACCACAUCUGAACUAAUACGGCUUUAAAGUCUGCUUUUUGAACUUGGCAUUCCACAAUCUGGUCCACCAAUUCUCUAGUGUGAUGACAUUGGCGCCAUUUAUCUCUUCUCCAACCCCAUGUUUCAUGCUCGCACAAAGUAUAUUAAGCUUGACUACUACUUUGUACGUGAAUAAGUCACUGUUGGCCAACUUUGUAUUCACUUUAUCUCCACUAACGAUCAAAUUGGUGACAUUUUCACCAAAUCCCUGCCUGCUGCUCGAUUCCUCUAUCUUCGCCAAAAGAUUCGUCUCCUACCUCGAUCGACAUUGAGUUAGGGGGGGGGGAGUGGGUGUUGGGAGAUAACUCUCACCUCCGCACUUUUAGCUUCUGUAACACAUCUUUUCUCCUUCAGCAUGUAUCCAUAUUCCUCUCCUUCUUAUUCUAUUUAUAUAUGUAUAUAUGUGUAUAUAAUUCCUUCAAUAUAACAUACAAAAACAACAACUCAGUUUCUCAAAACACAGCAAGCCAAAAUGUUUCAUUUUGAAAACUUAAUUUAAAAGUCAACAUAUUUUCUUUUAGCUGAAUACGAAUUAUUCACGAGUCAUUAUCACCUUUACAUUUAAGUUUAAUAUAUAGUUUGUGCAUCCUUUUUGUUGACAAAUUUUUUAUAUAUGCAAUAUUUGUGAAUAAAAGUUUUUGUAAGGAUUUCAAACUCAUAAAAAUAAAAGAUUUUUUUCUUUGUAAGACUUAAUAUUCUAAGAGAACCAAUAAAAUUAUAUGGAUCAAAAGUGAUUUUACUUACAACAGUCAUAAUACUAAAACUUAACAAUAUUGGUUUAUCUAAAGUACAUAUUAAUUUUGCUCCACAGAAAACUUACCUCACAUUCAUCCCCGAGCCUCCAAAAUCGUAACAGUUCUGAAGAGGACUUUCUAUGCUGGUUUUGUUUUAUCCAAUCAAAAUUACAAUAUUUUGUUUACUAAAAUAUUUUAUCUGAGAGAUGUUUUUAUUUCUCCUUUUGGUAUAAUUCACUUUUAAUUUAAUAUUUGAGAGAAUAAUGUUGUUACUUAUGCAACUUUGAGUAACCAAAAUUUAGGAAUGAUCACCUUAAGAAAGGUUAUUAUUAGGGCAUAUAGUUGGAUAAGCAUAUUGUACAAGAACUUCAGCCAUGAAAAUAGACUUUGAAUACCUAAGAGAAAAAUGAUAUCUUAUAUAUAAUAUAUGUUUUCUUAUAAUCUAUAACGACCCCGGAAAUUCUAAAGAAAAUAGAUUAUAAAUUAAGUGCGGAAGUGAAAUAAAUAGUUAGGGUUUACAUUCCUUACAUAAUGACUUAAAGUACCAAGUAGGGCUAUGGGAAUGACCCUUAGAGAGAAAUACAAGAAAUUAAAGAAAUAACUAUAAAAUAAAUAAAAUUUGCAUCCUACUAACAAUCCUCUUGUGGAUCGGACUCUGAAUCAUGAUCUUCUUGAUCUGAAAUAGUUAAUAAAGGAAUGAGCUACAUUAACCCAGUAAGAAUAUCACGUUACUCACCGACACAGAAAUGAAGGUUGGUAGAAAUAAUAAAAACAACUAAUGAAACUUUUAAUUUAGCAAAAUCGUUUAUCAUAAAUAAAAUUAUUUACCGUCUACUUGUCGUAACGAGAUUUACAAAACAACUUAUAGAUACAAUAAUAUAACACAUCUUAGGAUUUCAUAUGCAAUUAGUUGGAACAAUAAUUUUCUUUUUUAUCAGCCUACUAGUAUCCAUGGGGGUUCAUAGGGAUGUCCACACAACGUGUGAACCAUUUUCUUUAACAUUUUCAAUUAAUGGGUCGUCCUCAUACUCCGUCCGGUAUGAGCACCAAAUUACUAAAUCUCAAUACCCCGUUCGGUAUGAGGGUGAAACAGGCCGUCCCCAUACCCCGUCCGAUAUGAGCACCAAAUUACCAAACCUCGAUACCCCGUCCAGUAUGAGGCAACGUUCACGAUAGGGUUCCCUAUGUACCCAACCCGUCCACCAUCUCCUACGAUAUCCAGUAAGGUUGUCGAUUUAUCCAUUCACUUAAUCACACGAUUUCUCAUUUAUCUUUAAUAUUCAAUUUUUCAAUUCAACCGUAAUCACAUAAAACAAACAAUAUAUGCAUUCAAAACUAUAAAAUCGAUCAAUCAGAUACUAUCAUGUAUUCAAACUGUAAAAUCAAUCAACAGUGAAUAAUUUUUUGUUCUAGCUCUACUAAUAAACCGUAAUUAAUUAUGGAUAUCUUUUAAGUUGCACCGUACUAUUGUUAAUUUAACUUCAAUUCCAUAAUAGAGAAUAGGGUGAGGGAUUCUUACUCAAAUUGAUGCCCAAAAUACUAAACUUGUUGACUGCACCUAUGGGCGGUCACCGAGUUCCCUAAAUUUUUCUUCGUGAAUUAAAACGCACUACAAGUACCUACAAAUAUCCCAAAAAAUUUCAAAAUAGGUGUCAGGACCUCUUUUUGGCAUAUUCUGGAAUUUCGACGACGACGGUUUGCCUCGGGUCGACUUUUUUGGCUGAAUUCGGCCGAUUUUGCAUCAAUCUCUGCGAGAAAACACGUGAAGUAGCAUCGGUUAGUCAAAAAAAUAAAAAAUCAAAACUACCGGCAGCAGGGUCCUCCGGUGCGGCAGCUCCGCCGGCUCACCUUUGCAAUUGGGUGUUUUGCUUUGGUCAACUUGUAAAGAAGGAAACAGUAAGUACAAUAGUGAAAGAAUUACACAUAACGGGAAUCGGGAAGGGCCUCAUCGGAGUGGUUUUUAUAAUUUUCUGCCGCGGCGCCACGGUGCUUUAUCUGCCGGUUCUUUUGCUCCGAUUUAGCCAAUGGGGUGUUUAAAAUUGAAUUCCGAGCAAACGGAGAAAUUUCUUAUUUACCUUUAAUAUCCAAUUUUUCAAUUCAACCGUAAUCACAUAAAACAAACAAUACAAGCAUUCAAAAUUAUAAAAUCGAUCAAUUAGAUACUAUCAUGCAUUCAAACUGUAAAAUCAAUCAAUAAAAUCAAUAGUGAAUAAUUUUUUGUUCUAACUCUAUUAGUAAACUAUAAUUAAUUAUAGAUAUUUUUUAAAUUGCACAAAAUACCGUACUAUUAUUAAUUUGACUUCAAUUCCAUAAUAGAGAAUAGAGUGAGGGAUUUUUACUCAAAUUGAUACCCAAAAUUCUAAACUUGUUGACUGCGCCUACAGGCGGUCCCCGGGUUCCCUAAAUUUUUCUUCAUGGAUUAAAACGCACUACAAGUACCUACAAAUAUCUCAAAAAAUCCAAAAUCGAUGUUAGGACCUUUUUUGGCAUAUUCUGAAAUUCUGACGACGGCGGUAUGGCUCAGGUCAAUUAUUUUCGGUAAUUUUAUACCGAAUUCAGCCGAUUUUGCAUCAAUCCCUGCGAGAAAAUACGUUAAGGGGUCUCAGUUUACCCAAAAAAAAUAAAAAAUUGAAACUCAUCGGUAGCAGGGUCCUUCGGUGCGGCGGUUCCGCCGGCUCACCUUUGCAGUUGGGUGUUUUGCUUCAGUCAACUUGUAAAGAAGGAAACGGUAAUUACAAUGAUGGAAGAAUUACACAUAACGGGAAUUGGGAAGGGCCUCAUCAGAUGUGGUUUUUACAAUUUCCCAAGGCGAUGCCGCUGGGUUUUUUCUACUAUUUUCUGCCAAUCCGCCGGUCUUUUUGCUCCGAUUUGGCCAUGGGGUAUUUAAAAUUGAAUUCCGAGCAAACGAAGAAAUUUUUACCUCUUUUGGCGGUUGAAAGUGGCUCCGGCAUGGUGGCUUCCCUUCCCAAUGACUGGGUCUUCUUCUCCAGCGAGGGUGUCUAGCGGCUAGGAUUAGGGUUUGGUGUGAAGAUAGUUAUUUAUAUUUGUCUCCUUUUAAUCUGGACCGUCAAUCGCAUUUGAUCUGAACCGUCCGGUCCGAUUAAAUAGGAAGUGAAUGUGAACCGUUCAUUGCUAUCUGAUCUGAACCUUCUGAUCACGUUUAAAUAAGAAGUUGAUUUGAACCAUUGAUCGUGUUUAAAUCUGAUCGUCCGAUCACGUUUGGGGAGGGAAUGCAUCCGGACAUGCGCACGGGAGCGAAUUUGAGUCGUCCACCUAUUUUCUUUCAUUUUUACAUUAAAUUAAAAUUUAAAAAUUAAAAAAAUUAUAUUUAUAAAUUAAUUUAAAUUACAUUAAAAUUAAUUUGGGUAUUACAUAAUCCAUGUAUUGUCAAUAAUGUUGUAAUAAAAGCAGUUAUAUAUAUACCUAUGUAACUUCAUCUGAUGAUGUCCAUCAUUUUUAUUCCAAAAAUUUAUUUUACAAGAUUUAAAUGUGUGUAAUGAGAUUUUAUAAUAAUUUAUAUUUGAUCAAUGUUUAUUAUAAGAAAUAAUUUUUUAAAAAAUGUUUGACUAGGAAAUAUAUACUGAAAUCUUAUAUUAGAUGUAACGGCCCCGGAAAUUUAAAUGAAGAUGUAUGUAUAAAAAAUUUUAAAUGUGGAAGCGAAAUAAAAAUUCUGAUUAACAUCCCUUACACAAUAACCAUAAACGUAUUCAACGUAUGAAAGAAUAAGCUAAUUAAAAAAAAUACUUGAAAUAAAAACUAUAAAUAGAACUAAAAAAUCUUUAGGCGUCUAACUCGUCGUCUUCUUGCGGAACGGACUCGGGAACCACGUCUUCUUGAUCUGAAAUGGUUAAGUAAGGAAUGAGCUACACUAGCCCAGUAAAGACAUCACACUAUCUCACUGCCAUAGAAGUAAAGAUUGGUAAAAAAUAAAAACGACCAAUAGAGCAUAAUUUAUAACAAACUCAUUUAUUAAUAAAAAAAAUCUUUAUUAUCCACUUACCUCGGUGAGAUUCAUGAAAAUAACAUAUGAAAACAAUAACAUUAUAACCAUCAUAAAAUCAUAUACACUUUGUAACAUAACACAUGUUAUACUUUUGCACUUCAAUAAUCAGACAACAAUUCCCCUCUUUUACCAGCCUACUAUUAUCCAUGGGGAUCCAUAGGGGGUCCUCGCUACACGUGAACCAUUAACAUUAAUAACCUGAUUCUAGGGUCGUCCCCAUACCCCGUCCGGUAUGGACGCUAAAACCAUAAACCUCAAUACCCCGUCCGAUAUGAGGGUGAAACAGACCGUCCCCAUACCCUGUCCGGUAUGGGCGUCAAAAUCAUAAACCUCAAUACCCCGUCCGGUAUGAGGGUAAAACGGGCCGUCUCCAUACCUCGUCUGGUAUGGGUGCUAAAAUACAUAAGGUCUGCAUACCCCGUCCGAUAUGAGAGACCACGUUCCCGAUAGGGUUCUCUACGGAUCCGGUCCGUUCACCAUCUCCCAUGAUAUCUAGUCAGGCUGUCCACAUUAUACAUUUAUCAAUUCACAUAACUUUUUUUUCAUUUUCCUUGGUCUUAAUUAUCCAAUCAUACACAAAUACGUAAAUCAAUAAUGAACACCAGACAAAACAACACUACAUCGGGUUCACCAUAAUUCAAACCAUAAUAAAGAAACCAUAAUUCAUGCAUACGAAACCAUAAAAUAAAUACAUCAAAUACCAUAUUGCAUUUAAAGCUAAAAAAUAGAUCAAACAACAACUGACCAAAAAAUACAUCAGAUUCGGGCUCUAUUAGUAACCUUAAUUAAUUAUACACAUGUAUUAAUUCAUGAAAUGCCGUUUUAUUAUUUAUUGAGCUUUAAUACCGUGAUAGGAAAUAGGGUAAGAAAUUCUUACUUAUUUCGGGGUCUGAAAUCGGCUCUACAAUGCGCUUAUGGGCUGUCCCUAAAUUUUCUGAAUUUUUUUCAUAAAACUAAAACGCACUACCGGUACUUGCACGUGUCCCAAAAAACUCCAAAUCAGACACAGGGCCCCUUUUCGGCCAAUAUCAAAAUUCCGGCACGGCGGCUCUGCCGUGCUCCGGCAACGGCACAAGCCCUGUAGAUAACUUCCCCUAAUAGUGUUUCACUCCCAGCAGUAGACACAAAUAACAAUGAAUCAAAUUUAUCACGUGAUACAUUAAGUUUGGAAGCAAAAACAUGUGAGACAAAUGAAUGCGAUGCACCAGUGUCAAAUAAAACAUGAGCAAUAUGGUCACAGAUAGUGUACAUAUCAUGUACCACGUCCGGGUCGGCGUCGGCAUCCUGCUGGGUAUGGUUGUAAACCCUGCCCUUAAAAGGAGGUCUUCCUUGGUUCUGGUUCCUCGGGUACUCUCUCGCAUAGUGCUGGGCACUGCCACAUAUGCAAGAGGUGUUGUUGAGGCGGUAGCAUGGUCGGUCCCCGUGAUCCCUGCCACAGUGCUGGCAGAUCUUUCCACAUGCUGCCCCUGGAGCCUGAGGAAGGGCCUGGAUCACUGGUCUGGGCCUCUUAUUUGGUUGGACCGGCGCAGUAGGUGCUGGUUUGUGGGGUGUAGCUGAGGGUCGGUGACUCCUUGCUGACUGAGGACGGGUGUUGAAACUCUUCUCCACAAUCUGUGCCUUUGCUCAAACGGUUGAAUAUGUCUUGAGCUCCAGUACCAAUAAGUGUUGCUUGUUUUUUGGGCGGAGGCCCCACUGGAAUCUCCUGGCCUUCUUGCCUUCAUCUAUCAAUGUCUCCAGGGAGUAUCGGCCCAGCUCUAGGAACUUACUAGCAUAUUCUGACACUGUCAUGUUUCCCUAGACCAGCUGAACAAACUCCAUCUCCUUCAGGUGUCGGAUGUGCUCAGGGAGAUACUCCACAUGGAAGGCCGCUAAGAACUGCUCCCAAGUGGCUGGUGUAGGCAGGGUGGUCUGCUUGAGCUCCCACCAAUGACUUGCUUCCCCUACCAACAUGUAGGAAGCAAGGGCAACUCUCUGCUCGGGAACCACUCCCAAUGUCUUGAAAGCUUUCUCAGUCUCCGUCAACCGGUACUGGGCAUCUUCAAAAGAGGAUCCCCCUGCAAAAGUAGAAGGGUUCAGUCUCCUGUACCUCUCUAUGUAGCCUGGGUCGAUCAAGGAAUGAGCUGUGUCCCGUGGAAGAGGGACUGGGCCCGGCUGGGGAUAGACUGGGGGGCCCUGUGGUGGCACCUGCUGAUAUGGUGGGGGCACCGGAUUGUACUGUGGCGGUGUCGGGCAGUACGGUAGUUGGGGCACCGGUUCAUACUGCGGCAGUGGUUUCGUGUGGUACUGUGGUGGAGCAAGCUCGUGCCGCGGCAACUCGGGAUUCACUUGCUGUAGCGGCGGCUCAACCCGUGGUAGUGGGGGAGGUUCAGGUAACUCCCUUCUCUCCUCUCGACCUUGCUGGGCAGCCAUGAUCCUUUCCAGCAUCUCAAAUAUUCUGUCCACAUCUUCCCGAAGCAAAUCAUCCCAAGCUGCUCAGUUUAGUGGGAGUCUUCCUCUCCUCAUUUCUUUGCACCUACAUUUCACAAGGAAGAGUUGAGUAACGAUUUAUCGGUGGGUAUUUCUCUAAGUAUUAUUGUGUAAGGGAUGAGUCCGAGGAAACCUGUCUCUGAUACCAACUGUAACGGCCCCAGAAAUUUAAAUGAAGAUGUAUGUAUCAAAAAUUUUAAAUACGGAAGCGAAAUAAAAAUUCUGAUUAACAUCCCUUACACAAUAACCAUAAACGUAUUCAACGUAUGAAAGAAUAAACUAAUUAAAAGAAAUACUCGAAAUAAAAACUAUAAAUAGAACUAUAAAAUCUUUAGGCGUCUAACUCGCCGUCUUCCUGCGGAACGGGCUCGGAAACCACGUCUUCCUGAUCUGAAAUGGUUAAGUAAGAAAUGAGCUACACUAGCCCAGUAAAGACAUCACACUAUCUCACUGCCAUAGAAGUAAAAGUUGGUAGAAAACAAAAACGACCAAUGGAGCAUAAUUUAUAACAAACUCAUUUAUUAAUAAUAAAAACCUUUACUGCCCACUUACCUCGGUGAGAUUCAUGAAAAUAAUAUAUGAAAACAAUAACAUUAUAACCAUCAUAAAAUCAUAUACACUUUGUCACAUAACACAUGUUAUACUUUUGCACUUCAAUAAUCAAACAACAAUUCUCCUCUUUUACCAGCCUACUAGUAUCCAUGGGGAUCCAUAGGGGGUCCCCGCUAUACGUAAACCAUUAACAUUAAUAUCCUGAUUCACGGGCCGUCCCCAUACCCCGUUCGGUAUGGGUGCUAAAACUAUAAACCUCAAUACCCCGUCCGGUAUGAGGGUGAAACGGGCCGUCCCCAUACCCCGUCCGGUAUGGGCGCCAAAAUACAUAAGGUCUCCAUACCCCGUCCGAUAUGAGAGACCACGUUCCCGGUAGGGUUCCCUACGGAUCCAGUCCGUCCACCAUCUCUCAGGAUAUCUAGUCAGGCUGUCCACAUUAUCCAUUUAUCAAUUCACAUACAUUUUUUCUCAUUUUUCUUGGUCUCAAUUAUCCAAUCAUACACAAACACGUAAGCCAAUAAUGAACACCAAACAAAAUAACACAACAUCAGAUUCACCAUAAUUCAAACCAUAAUAAAAGAAACCAUGAUUCAUGCAUACGAAAUCAUAAAAUAAACACAUCAAAUACCAUACUGCAUUUAAAGCUGAAAAAUAGAUUAAACAACAACUGACCGAAAAAUACAUCAGAUUCGGGCUCUAUUAGUAACCUUAAUUAAUUAUACACAUGUAUUAAUUCAUGAAAUGCCGUUUUAUUAUUUAUUGAACUUUAAUACCGUGAUAGGAAAUAAGGUGAGAAAUCCUUACUUGUUUCGGGGUUUGAAAUCGGCUCUACAAUGCGCCUAUGGGCUGUCCCUAAAUUUCCUGAAUUUUCUUCGAAAAACUGAAACGCACUACCGGUACCAACACGUGUCCCAAAAAAUCCCAAAUCAGACCCAGGGCCCCUUUUCGGCCAAUAUCGAACUCCGGUGACGGCACUACCGCCCGUGGCGGCGAUCCGCCUCAAGUUGGCCGUUUUCGGCCAAAUUCGGCCAAACUUGCAUUGGUUCCUGCGAUAAAACAACCCUAGGGCCCUUGGUGGGCCAAAAAAUCACAAAAAACCAAGACUUAUCGGCGGCAGAGCUCUCGGGUGCGGCGGCUUCUCUGGCGCGAGUCACGAUUUGAUGUUUUGCUCCGGCCAACCUGUAGAAAAAAGGACGGUGAUCACGGUGGUAUAAAAAUUGCAUCAAAUGGGAACCGAAAAGGGCCUCAUCGGAGGUAAAAAUCGAGGGAAGCUGCGGCGACGCCGCUGGAUUUCGACGGUGUUUUCUGGCCGAUUGGCCGGUGGUUUGGCUCCAAUUUGGCCAUAGACGAAUUUAGCAUCGAAAAACGAGCCAAUUGGAGAAAAUUUACCUCGUUUGGCGGUCGGAAAACCCUCCGGUGCAGCGGCGGGUGGCGGCGGCCGACUCCUCCGGUGACUGGUUCUUCUUCUCCAGCGAGGGUACUGACGGCUAGGGUUUGGGGUCGGGUGUGGGUGAGGUUAUUUAUAACCUUCCCCUUUUAAUCUCAGCCGUCCAUUACGAUUUAAUCUGGGCCGUUCGAUCGCGAUUAAAAUAGAAAUAAAUCUGGACCGUCCAUCGCGAUGCGAUCUUGGCCGUCCGUGUGUGAUUCAAUCUGGGUUGUCCGCACGAGUGAGAUCUGGGUCGUCUAUGCGCAUGAGAUCUGGGCCGUCCGCACGCGUGAGAUCUGGACCGUUCGGUCGGGUGCACGCGGAUCGCCCACGUGGCUCCGUCCCGCGUGGCCUCCCACGUCAGCUUCCUUGCCACACUGUGUGUUCUGGUUGGCCGGGGCUGCUGACUGGGCUGCUGACGUGGCACAACUUUCCUAAAUUGCGUUUUGACCCCCGGUUUCUGAUUUUCUUUUCAAAAACACCUCCAGAAUUUAAAUUUUCACCCAUUUUUCUUAAAAUCAAUUUCAAUUAAAUCCCAAAAAUAAUUUUACCCUAUUUUAUCAUUAUUAUUAAUUUUAUUUUUAUUAAAUUAAAUUAAAUUAAAACCUUAUAAAUUAAAUAUUAAAAAAUUAAACUAAAAUUUUAAUAUAAAUUAAAAUAAAUUAAAAAAUAAAAAUAAUAAAAUUUCGGUGUUACUCUAAUAUUUAAGAUAGGUUGAUAAUAAUUGAAACCCAAAUAAGUUAUGUUAUAAUUAUUAUAAAUAAUCAGAAAAAUAUAAAAUUAUUGUUAAAACUGAAUAUUAAAUAUUACAAGUUUGAAUGUAAAUUUUAAAUAAAAAUCCUAAUUAAUUCAGAACCUAUUUAAUUGAAAUUUUGUGUUAAAUUCUAAUUCUAUCAAUCUUAAUCUAAUUGCUAUUGAGUUUUUUAUUAAAAAAAAAAAAAAAAAAAAAAAUCAUCAAACUAUAUAAAGGAUAACCCUGUCCUCGCUCCAGACAGCUUGUCGCUUUUGCUUUCGUGACGCCAAGCGUAUUCUGCAAUUUUGCGAUAAGGUGGUUAACAAGGCAGUAAAACGACAUCGUUGCUAUUAAUAAUGAAUAAACACUAUAAACCAGAAAUGUUGACUUCACUUGGGCUUGGGACUAAUUUCCAUUGUGCCAAUGAUUGGACUUGAAAAUGUGAAAAUGGGGCUUCAUUUUAUGGGUUAUGCUUUGAAAUGGUAUGGGUUUUAAGAUAAUGGGAUUUGUGAUAUUAAUCUAAGAUUAUGAGUUUAAUGAGUCUGAAUUGUAACAAUAAAUUCUAAAAUUAAUUAUGAAAAUUUGGUAAUUAAAUCAAAAAUAAUUAAAUUAAUUUACAUGAAAAAAUUAAGAAGUACAGACAAAGGAGAGGGAGAAGAAGAAAAAAAAAACGAAGAGGAAAAAUAUAUGUAUAUAUAUAUAAACAGAAGAAGACUAAGAAUAAGUGUAGUGUGAUUAACUCAAGGCACAAAUUUAUGUGACCAUUGCUGGCGAAAUCAUAAUCCCGUCGUGAUUUUAAAAUAAAAAAUUAAAAUUUUAUGAAAAAGUUUUUAAAAAAAAAUUGAUUUUCUUGAAAAAAUUGUGUGUUUAAGUAAUAAAAUUAUACAAAUUAAUUAACAGUGGGGAGAUUAAAAAUGAAAUUGAUAUUUUUAUUAUUUUCUGUAAAAGCAUUAUGUACUUUGAUUAUUUUACAAAUAUACAAUUUUUAUAUUUUUCUAUAAAUAAGAUAUUUAUAAAUACAUAAAUUCAAAAAAAAAAAUUAAAAAUUAUCUUUUGAAAUACAAAUUCAGACAUUAAUGUGGUAGACCAACAAAAUUAAUUGGAUUUGCUGAAUAGUCUUCAAGAGGCCACUAUUAUUUUAUAUGUACAUAAUAUUAUAUGUAAUAGAUGCUCUUCUCCUAGUCAAUAAAGACUAAGUAAUUAACCAGGCAAUUUAUUACACUCGGGCAUAUAUCUAUAGAUUCUUGAUAUGAUCUACAUGCCAAAAAUUGUGUAGGUUUCUCACUUCCACUUUUUCAUUCAACUUUCCUCUUAUUAUCAUUCUUAAUUAUGUAUAUGUGAAUAUAUCAAAUUGAUAAUUUAUAAUAUAUGUAUCCUAAUUAACAAUCAAGAUAUUAAGUUAAAAAUAUAUUAAUGAACUUACUAAUUAAUCAUGCAAUGGAAAUAAUGAGUGAACACGAAUAUUAUAUAUGGAAUAGAUUUAAUAUAUUUUAUAAAAUUAUUGUGUGAUUUAAUUUAUUAUUUAUAUUAUAUAAUCCUACCCUAAAAUAUGUAUUUGUAUAUGUUCAAGAGGUUUGAGGAAGUUAUAAAAGGAGAUAACUAUGGAUGUAUACACAAAUAACACAUGUGUAUGUAUAUAUUUAAGUGGAUCAAAAAACUACCUUCCACCAUUUUCUCACACAAUUAGAUUAUCACUUAUAAUAAUUUUAAUUUAGUUGUUUAAUUAGAUCUCGGCUCCCAUGGAAUUAACUUCAACUAAUUGAUGAAUCCAAGUCCAAACUUAACUAUAUCUUACUAAUGGAUAGUCCAUAUAUAUAUACAUAUAUAUAUAUGUAUAUGUAUAUGUAUACGCACGGGCUGUACAAUACAGAUUUCAGUUGAAUGAUUAUGCAUGCGUCACACAUGACGUUUGUUUUAAAUGUUAUUUGCAUGUAUGUAUGUGAUUUUUAACUAACCAAAAAUCAAAAUUAUUCCUUGAUAAUUUUUAAAACUCUGAACAUCUACCUCGAAAAUUAGUACAUCUUAUACUAGAAAUAUCGUACUUUAUGACAUAUAUAUAUAUAUAUAUAUAUAUACAUGAAGAUAUACACUUAAAUCCAUGUGGAUAUAGAAUGGACACAUGCAUGGACUCUAACAUAAAUGCUACGACUUGUUCAAUGCGAUAGCUACAAUUAUUCAUGUACUUUCAAAAUUAAUUAAUAGCAAGUAAUUUUUUUAUAAAUUAAAUAAUUAAUUUAAAUUAAAGCGAUCGAUUAUCGGAAACGAAUCUAUCAUAUCUUCAACUUCAAUCUAAUCCACACAAGUAAUAUUUUCAACCCAACUCCAAUCAUACAUUAUUUUCUUUUCUCUUUUUUAUUAAUUUAGUUAAUAUUAAAAUUUUAUAUACGAUUAAGAUAAAUGUUAAUUAGUGUAUUUUAUUUUAAUUUUGAAGAUUCAAUUCGAUUUAUAAUUGUCAAUAAAAUAAAUAAAUUUUGAUUCUCAAUUCAAUUAUCAAUUUAACAAUUAUUUUAAAUUUUUAUAUGAUAAUUAAUCAUAUGAUUAGUUAUUUAAAAUGAUAUUAAAUGCCCAAAAUUUUAUUAAAAAUUAAUUUUCCCAAAUAAUUGAGCUUUUUAGUUAAUUUACGACUGCUUCCGUUUAUUUUAUUUUUAUUUUUUUUUAUUUUUUUGGAAGCAGAAAAUAUUGACUUUUUCUCAUCUUACAAGUCUCUUCCCAAUCACAUACGCAAUAAAUAAAGCUCAGAGCAACUCCCCACAAUUACUGCUUCUUUUAUUUUCACCACUUGAAAAAUAAGUAAAUUCAUAGUAAGAAGAAAAUGUUGAAUUUUCCUUUUUUUUUUCAUUAAAUCAAUUAAUGUAAGAUGUACGUCUUGAUAACUCUUCAACAGCCACCUACUGUUGCGGGCCAUCAUAUGUAUAUAUUUGCGCUGAAAAUGUAUCUCCUUCUUCCCCCUAUAAAUACACACAGCCAACCAUUACUUGUCAUCACAUCCUUCAUACUAAGUAGAGCCAGUGUCGAGUUGCAGCAACCAAAAACCAUGGCAUCGAAGAUUUUCCUUCUCCUAGGCCUUUCAUUGGCCAUACUUCUUCUCAUCUCCUCCGAGGUGGCUGCAAGAGACCUCGCCGAGACGGAGACCCAGCAGGAACAUGGUCAGCUUUACCUUCUUCAUUCUGACAAUCACUCUUUACUACUUUAUUAAUCACAUGCAAUGUAGUUACUAACACUACAUAUCUAUACGAAUAAUGAUCAUAUGCAUAUACUGCGUGUAAAUUUAUGCAGGAGAGGUUGAGGAAGAGACAAAUGGAGUGGAAGAGGCUAAGUAUCCAGGAUAUGGAGGAUACCCUGGAGGCGGCGGAUACAACGGUGGGUACAACGGUGGACGUGGAGGAUACAACGGCAGAAGAGGGUAUUGCCGCUAUGGUUGCUGCGAUAGAGGUUAUCAUGGGCGCGGAGGUUGCAGGCGCUGCUGCCACUAUGCUGGUGAGACUGUUGAUGCCCAAACCCAAGUCCAGACACAUGACUAGAGCACCAUAAAUUAUAAAUAAGCGCUACAAUGCAUAGCUCGGUGUAUAUAUAUAUGCACAGACAAAUGGUUUAAUGAAAUAUAUAAUGUGUGUUUAGUGUGUUAGUCUUUUGCUAACACAACUUUUGUGCAAGCACCGAUUAGUAUUUGUAGCGCCAGAAGUGCUUAAUAAGUUAAUAAAUAAAAUUACGAGUAUGGAUAUGUGAUGGUAGUUUUGUAGUGUUGUAUGCAUGCUCUAAAAUACUUUUUACUCAUUUUGUAUAUAAACUAUGCAAAUAUAUUAAAAACUAAGUAAGUAUUGAAUUAAAAUCUUAAACAAAAACCCUAGAGAGACAAGAGAAUGAGAGAGAGUCCAAACAGGUUCUGAAGAGCUCAUUUCUUUUUUUUAUUUAUACUGAAAAAUAUUGAAGAAUCUGUAGAGUGCACAAAUUUUUCACAAAUAUGAUAUACAAACUAAAUUGGAAAAUGCCAACAUAUAUAUAUAUACACACACACAUACUCAUAUUACAUACACACGCAUCAUGCUUUUGAAGCUUCAGCACGAAAGCCCAAUGGAGAGAUGAAUGUUGGGAUUGGGCCUAAAUCUUAUUCUUUCUGUAUUUCAAAUUUAUUUCGAUUAACAACUACAUAAUAAAACUUUCCGUCUUAAUCUUCUGUUAUUAUCUUAAAUUUUUCAAAAUAAAAGAGAUAUUUAAAUUAAAGUGACAGCCGAACUGAGUAUUUAAAUAUUUGAUUUUGAUUUUUUUCAAAUAGUGUUAAGUUCAGGUUUUGCUUGAAGUUUGAUUAAUUAUCUUAAAAACUCAAACUUAAUUUGCUUGAAAAGAGUUUCAACUUGAAAAAAUUCAAAUUAUAUAAAAUUUAUUUGGAUAAAUUCGAUAAAUAAUAUCCUAUUUACUUAUUUUUGUUUAAUUUUUAUGAAAAUAUUUUUUAUAUUAUCAAAUACGUACUCAAAAAAAUAUAUAAAAAUAUUAACUUAUUAAGGAUUCAAAACUUAUAAAAGUAAAAGAUUUUUUUUUUUUAUAAGACUUAAUAUUCUAAGAGAAUCAAUACUAUUAUAUGGAUCAAAAGUAAUUUUACUUAUAAUAGUCAUAAUACUAGAAUUUAACAAAAUUGAUUUUUCGAAAGUACUUAUUGAUUUUGCUCCAGGUGGAGUAAACUUAUCUUACAUUCAUUCCCGAGCCUCCGAAAUCUUAACAGUUCUGAAGAGAACUUUCUACGCUAGUUUUAUUUUAUUCAAUUAAAAUUAAACUACUUUGUUCACUAAAGUAUUUUAUCUGGGAGAUGUUUUUAUCUUUCUUUUUGGUAUAAUUCACUUUUAAUUUAACAUUGAAGAGAGUAAUGUUGUUACUUACGCAAUUCUAAGUAACCAAAAUUCAGGGAUGAUCACUUUAAGAAAUGUUAUUUUUGCCUCAAAACUACUAAUAUAGCCUAAUGUUACUGUCAAGGCAUACAAUUGGACAAACAUGUUGUGCAAGAACUUCAUUCAUGAAAAUAAACUUUUAAUACCUCAGAAAAAAUAUUAUCUUAUAUAUAAUAUAUGUUUGUGAUUUUCUUAUAAUUUAUGAAUUGUCAAAAAUCAUGCAAUGAAAGUAAUGAGUGAAGACAACAGAAAUGCAUGAACAAAUAUUAUAUAUGGAAUAGAUUUAAUAUAUUUUAUAAAAUUAUUGGAUGACUCAAUCAUUUUAAAAUUUAAAUAUAAUUUAUUGAUUGAUUCAAUUUAUUAUUUAUAUUAUAUAAUCGUAGCCCAAAAUAUGUAUUUGGGUAUGUACAAGAGGUUGAGGGAGAGAUACAACGGUGGACGUGGAGGAUACAACAGCAGAAGAGGGUAUUGCCGCUAUGGUUGCUGCGAUAGAGGUUAUCAUGGGCGCGGAGGUUGCAGGCGCUGCUGCCACUAUGCUGGUGAGACUGUUGAUGCCCAAACCCAAGUCCAGACACAUGACUAGAGCACCAUAAAUUAUAAAUAAGCGCUACAAUGCAUAGCUCGGUGUAUAUAUAUAUAUGCACAGAAGAAUGGUUUAAUGAAAUAUAUAAUGUGUUUAGUGUGUUAGUCUUUUGCUAACACAACUUUUGUGCAAGCACCGAUUAGUAUUUGUAGCGCCAGAAGUGCUUAAUAAGUUAAUAAAUAAAAUUACGAGUAUGGAUAUGUAAUGGUAGUUUUGUAGUGUUGUAUGCAUGCUCUAAAAUACUUCUUACCCAUUUUGUAUAUAAACUAUGCAAAUAUAUUAAAAAC